rnacentral:sRNA from 1 species
AUGCCGGCGUCCCCGGCGGCGAGGUCCGAUUCGAUCAUGCGCCGCUGGCGGGCGCCGAUGGAGGCGA